UACGUAGGGACCAAGCGUUGUUCGGAUUUACUGGGCGUAAAGGGCGCGUAGGCGGCUUGACAAGUCACUUGUGAAAUCUCCGGGCUUAACUCGGAACGGCCAAGUGAAACUGUCAUGCUAGAGUGCAGAAGGGGCAAUCGGAAUUCUUGGUGUAGCGGUGAAAUGCGUAGAUAUCAAGAGGAACACCUGAGGUGAAGACGGGUUGCUGGGCUGACACUGACGCUGAUGCGCGAAAGCCAGGGGAGCAAACGGG
rnacentral:rRNA from 1 species